UUGAAUGCAGUUGAAACUGAAAGGCAAUUUAUGGAAAAAAAUAAAUCAAUAAAUAUAAAAUAAAUUCAGGAUAAACAGUAUAUCCUAAACAAAAUAUAUUUCAAAAUCAAACAUAAAACACAAUAUCACAGAGAAAAAAAGAAAACAUUAAUAAGUCCUUUCAUUUGGUACACAGGUGUGAAAUGUAGCUAUGACAUGGCUCAGAGAGGAGGGACUCAGUGUUCAUAUGAUCUUAGUGUCUGACAGAGACUGUGGUUGAAAUGAUUCAGUCUGACUCUUCUCAGAGUGAACACUUGUUCAAUGGAUCUUCAUUCAGUUAUUCUGUUCUGUGCCUCAGCUGCUGCUGUUUUUGGGAAUGUCAUUAAACCAAACAAAACAGAUGUUUUUGCUGAGGAGGGUUCAAGUGUUACAUUAUCCUGUAGUUUUUCUGCUUCUGGAGCUAAUGAUUAUCUCCACUGGUACCGUCAGUAUGGAAGAUCAAAACCUGAAUUUCUUGUACUCAUCUACAGCAAAUCAAAAGAUGCUAAGCGGUCUGUUGAAGAUCCAAGAUUCUCUGUUAACAUUCCAAAAAGUGAACAUGUGGAUCUGGAGAUCUCCUCUGCUGCUGUAUCAGACUCUGCUCUGUACUACUGUGCUCUGCAGCCCACAGUGACAGGAAACACAUCAGCUCUCUACAAAAACCUGUUACAGUGAGAGACAAGAGAGAAACACAGAGACAGAGAGAAAGAAGCUGUAAGUGGCAAUUACGGUAUUGUGAACCAAUGAAAAAAAAUCACAGGCUGUACCAAAAUCAUAUAAGGUAGACAUUUUCUUUUCAUUGUAAUGCAUGAAUUUAUGUGGCAAUGUGAAGGGUUUACAUGAAAUUACAGUUACAUUAAAUCCCGAUGAAGCUGUUCUUUAAUGCCUGUAAUUCAGAAAACUGUCAAACAAUAAAAAUGUCAAAUGAUUCUCAUGUGCAAUAAAUAGUGCAGAUUGAUGUCUGCCACAGGAUGGCAGUGUUCACACACUUUCACAUGGAGAUACUGCUAUGUUUUAAAGGGAUUGUUCACCCAAAAAUGAAAAUUAGGAAAUUGGA